GGGUUUGUUAAAACAGAUUCCUGGGCCCCACCCCCAGAGUUUCUGAUUUGGCAUGUCUGGGAGGAAGCCUACAAAUUUGUAUUUCUGACUAAUUCCCAGGUGCUGCUGCUGGUCCAUAGAUCACACAUUGAGAGGCUGAAGAACAGAGAGCUUCCACUGUUCUCUUCUGAGGCCCUCAAAUUCAUUCCAAUUUCUGGGCCCAGUGGUGAGGAUGAUUAUAAGGUGAAGUUCUCACUUGUUUCUUUACAGAGUUGGACAAAUGUGGUCAAGAACUGCUGUCAGCCCUAUACUCCCCCAUGGAGAAUAUGCAAGAGAAUGAAAAAGCCAAAGGCCAAAAAGAAAGAGUGGAAGAGAACCAGAUCAGCAGUAAGUCUCUGUGUCUAGUCACUAAGGUCUCAGAGCUGUUUGGAUUCUACAGCAAGUUCUUCAAUUCUUUGCUUUCUAUCAGUAUCUAACUCUCAUCUCCUUGCUCUUACCUUGGUUUGUUGUUUAUUUCUCUCCUACAGCGAUUUCAGUUGGGUUUCUGUCACUUGCAAAGGACAGGAUCCUAUUAUCCCUCUUAAUCAAACUGUCAAAGACAGAGGUGGAAAAAAGAAGUCACAGGAGGGUGUUGGUGAUAGGAUGCUCAUAUGGACUGCUAGGUUCUAGCAGCUGCAAGGAACAGGGCCUCACUAAGGUCUCCCCAAGAAAACGUCUAAGGACACACAUGCAGAGACUGUAAGUGGAAAGCCGUCAAAAAAACGGAGACAAGUUUAGGGUCAGCUACUCUCUAGAUGUGUCUCUUCUGAUCUCUGCUGCAUGUCAUUUCCUCUUUUCAGAGUGUCUACUCCAUUCUUCCCUUAUUCCUAUUGAUUAAUACUCUCCCAGUUUUCCAGUUCGGAUCGCAAGAGGUCAGCUAAUGAUAACUGCUAUUCUUAUUGUGCAGAGUCUUUUGUUCUUGGCCACUUGUGGGUGGCCAGCUAGCCUCUUUGGAUGAGGCACGAUCUCAAGUCCCAUGAGAACCCUUCUCUGAGCCAUAAUAACAAAAGCUGGGGAAUUUAGAAGGAGGUAGGCUUUCCAUUUUGUCCAUUGUAAGAGAUGGACAAUGGGAACAAUAGGAAUGAAGAGUCAUGAUAUGAAAUAUCAGGUCAAUAUUAUAUAAACACGUUUGCAACAGAAAAAGUGCAGAGAGGGGAGUAUGGAGAAGAUAUAGGGCAAGGACUUGCUGAAGUGAUCUGGGUCAGAGCGAAAGGCUUCAGGUCCUAGAAAAAGCAAGACCAGUGUGGGCACUUUUACACUCAGAAGGUUGCGGUUGCCCACAGCCACAGCAAAGCCUCUGGCCUCUACUUGGCUUGACUUCUACUCUUUGACUUGUAGAAACUGGGGAUAGUCACCACUUCUUCUA
rnacentral:lncRNA from 12 species